rnacentral:rRNA from 1 species
CACGUAGGGGACGAGCGUUGUCCGGAUUCAUUGGGCGUAAAGCGCGCGUAGGCGGCUCGGAAAGUCGGUCGUGAAAUGCCGGGGCUCAACCCCGGGACUGCGUCCGAUACUCCCGAGCUGGAGGCAGGUAGGGGAGAUCGGAAUUCCUGGUGUAGCGGUGAAAUGCGCAGAUAUCAGGAGGAACACCGGUGGCGAAGGCGGAUCUCUGGGCCUUGCCUGACGCUGAGGAGCAAAAGCGUGGGGAGCGAACAGG